GAAGAAGCAUAAAGUGAAUUAAAGGGCGAGGAGCCAUUGAGUAAACUGACUCAGAAGAACAACUCUGAGAUCAGGAAACGGAUGUGAUGGGCAAUAACAACGGCUCCACUCAAUAAUCAAGAAGCCGUCAUUUCAAGAUCAUUCACGCGCAGCAACGCCUUCGCCGUCGAUCCACGUUCUUAAGAGCUGCAUUUCAUGAUCUUGGGAUUUCCGAAUCAUAGAACGAAACAUUAACGAACGUGCGCCCUUGCAAGGACUUGUUAACUCCCACUUGGCGGCACUUUAUCCGUAAAGCAAAUCAACAUUGUACAUAUGCUAUCCAUUCCGCCGAUCAUUACCACAAAAAGUCUGUUUCCUGUAAGCGCUAACAGUGUCCAAAACCAAUAGACAAAGAGGUUCCAUGAAACUACUGCGUUCACCUUGGCCUUUUUUCACCUUUUCACCUACUCCAUCUCGGUGUCCAAACCACUCGCGUUAACACCGUCAACUUCUCCAGCAAUGAAACCCAGCCUGGCACCCUUGCUCUUCAGAUACUGUAUAACCUCCCUACCGCUUCUCGUCCCCCCUUGCUUGACCCACCCCGUGAGCUGUUCUUCCACUCCAUCUUGCUGACUCUGCUGUAAGACUUUUCCUCCGAAUUCCUCUGCCAGCCAAGUUUGUGCCACUACUUCUUCACCAUUUUCCAGCUCCAAGAGGAGUUCUGCCAAUUCUCUAGCAGCUUGGGCCCGGACGCGAAGAAUGUGUUUGACAAGAACACGAGAUGAGAGUCGCUUGGGCUUUUGAUAUUUCUCCGGGGGGGUAGUUGGGGGAAGACCAGCGAUUUUGGGAGGGUCUGGAGCAAACAGCGAGUAUUGAGCGACAAAGCUGGGAAGGGGCAUCUCAAAAUCGCGAGGAAGCCAGACACCAACUACAAGUCGCCAGGCAGCGACUAGACGCUUCAUACUUGAUAUAUUUAUUAGCUGGGCAUUAGCUAUUGACAUUGAAC
rnacentral:sRNA from 1 species